rnacentral:rRNA from 1 species
AACGAACGCUGGCGGCAUGCCUAACACAUGCAAGUCGAGCGAGAUCUUCGGGUCUAGUGGCGCACGGGUGCGUAACGCGUGGGAAUCUGCCCUUUGGUUCGGAAUAACAGUUGGAAACGACUGCUAAUACCGGAUGAUGACGAAAGUCCAAAGAUUUAACGCCAGAGGAUGAGCCCGCGUAGGAUUAGCUAGUUGGUGUGGUAAAGGCGCACAAAGGCGACGAUCCUUAGCUGGUCUGAGAGGAUGAUCAGCCACACUGGGACUGAGACACGGCCCAGACUCCUACGGGAGGCAGCAGUGGGGAAUAUUGGACAAUGGGCGAAAGCCUGAUCCAGCAGUGCCGCGUGAGUGAUGAAGGCCUUAGGGUUGUAAAGCUCUUUUACCCGGGAUGAUAAUGACAGUACCGGGAGAAUAAGCUCCGGCUAACUCCGUGCCAGCAGCCGCCGUAAUAC